AUCAGCUCACUAGCUGCUGCAUUCCGGAAACAGUCCGAAAUGUAGCUAAAUCCAGCUAAACUCAAUUAAACCCCAAUUUGCGGAUAAUAUCUUUAAUUAUUUUAUUUUAAAAUAUAUUAUUUGUUAAGACUAUCGUUGUUGUAGUAUAAUGUAGUUGCAUUAUACAACCAUGCCAACUGACUCUCCAAAUUAUAUUUGAGUAGCUCUCUUUUAUGUCGUCGAAUACUGAACAGCAGCACGAAAACAACAUGUCCCGGCCACAUGACAUACUGAGACAGCAAAUGAUGCAUAGACUCCUCUCUAAACUGGAAGCUGCUUUAAACCAACAACCACUAAAUCUGGAUUAUUUGGAGUUCUUGACUCGUCAUGAGCUUGUUCUGUUUGAAUCUUUCUCUCAGCAAAUAGGUGGUCUGUCAGAGAUUACAGAGGCUCUACAAAAUGUUCAUCAUCUGGUUCA